ACUCUUGUUUCUUUUCAGAUCAUAUAAAUCUUUCGCCUUUUACUAUAGAUUUCCGUGGAGAGGAACAACAAGAAUUUUACUCAAUUUUUUUGAUGCUCUGCUUCUAGCGGAGCU